UCCCUGGUGGCUCAGACGGUACAGCGUCUGUCUACAAUGCAGGAGACCCUGGUUCAGUCCCUGGAUUGGGAA
rfam:TPA: Bos taurus chromosome 2, whole genome shotgun sequence.